GUCUGUGUACAUAUAUAUUGUUUCAUACAUUACUAAAAAGUUGCUUUCCUUUGAUAAAUUCUACAGGUUGAGGCGGCAAGAGAAUCCAAAUUAGUGACAGGGAUGGAAGUUGAAAUACCUGAGAAGACCCACAUUGAUCCCCCGUCACCAUUUCAAGUAGUUAACAAUGUAAGCUAACUCUUGC
rnacentral:sRNA from 1 species